rnacentral:rRNA from 1 species
AAAUUGAAGAGUUUGAUCAUGGCUCAGAUUGAACGCUGGCGGCAGGCCUAACACAUGCAAGUCGAACGGUAACAGGAAGCAGCUUGCUGCUUCGCUGACGAGUGGCGGACGGGUGAGUAAUGUCUGGGAAACUGCCUGAUGGAGGGGGAUAACUACUGGAAACGGUGGCUAAUACCGCAUAACGUCGCAAGACCAAAGAGGGGGACCUUCGGGCCUCUUGCCAUCAGAUGUGCCCAGAUGGGAUUAGCUUGUUGGUGAGGUAACGGCUCACCAAGGCGACGAUCCCUAGCUGGUCUGAGAGGAUGACCAGCCACACUGGAACUGAGACACGGUCCAGACUCCUACGGGAGGCAGCAGUGGGGAAUAUUGCACAAUGGGCGCAAGCCUGAUGCAGCCAUGCCGCGUGUAUGAAGAAGGCCUUCGGGUUGUAAAGUACUUUCAGCGGG